rnacentral:rRNA from 2 species
UCGCCUGUUUAACAAAAACAUGUCUUUUUGAAUUUUUUUUAAAGUCUGACCUGCCCACUGAAUUUUUUUAAAUGGCCGCAGUAUACUAACUGUGCAAAGGUAGCAUAAUCAUUAGUCUUUUAAUUGAAGGCUGGUAUGAAUGGUUGGACGAGAUAUUAACUGUUUCAUAAAAAUUUAUAAUAGAAUUUUAUUUUUUAGUCAAAAAGCUAAAAUUUAUUUAAAAGACGAGAAGACCCUAUAAAUCUUUAUAUUUAUAUUAUUAUAAUUUUGUAGAUUUUUUUUGUUAUGAUAAUAGAUGAUAUUUUAUUGGGGUGAUAUUAAAAUUUAAUAAACUUUUAAUUGUUUAAAUCAUUAAUUUAUGAAUAAUUGAUCCGUUAUUAGCGAUUAAAAAAACAAGUUACUUUAGGGAUAACAGCGUAAUUUUUUUGGAGAGUUCAUAUCGAUAAAAAAGAUUGCGACCUCGAUGUUGGAUUAAGAUAUAAUUUUAGGUGUAGCCGCUUAAAUUUUAAGUCUGUUCGACUUUUAAAUUCUUACGUGAUCUGAGUUCAGACCGGA